UCCAGACUCCUACGGGAGGCAGCAGUGGGGGAUAUUGCACAAUGGGGGAAACCCUGAUGCAGCGACGCCGCGUGUGGGAAGACGGUCCUCUGGAUUGUAAACCACUGUCCCCAGGGACGAAAAUGACGGUACCUGGGGAGGAAGCUCCGGCUAACUACGUGCCAGCAGCCGCGGUAAUACGUAGGGAGCGAGCGUUGUCCGGAAUUACUGGGUGUAAAGGGAGCGUAGGCGGGAUGGCAAGCAGAAUGUUAAAUCCAUCGGCUCAACCGGUGGCUGCGUUCUAAACUGCCGUUCUUGAGUGAAGUAGAGGCAGGCGGAAUUCCUAGUGUAGCGGUGAAAUGCGUAGAUAUUAGGAGGAACACCAGUGGCGAAGGCGGCCUGCUGGGCUUUAACUGACGCUGGGGCUCGAAAGCGUGGGGAGCAAACAGGAUUAGAUCCCCCCGUA
rnacentral:rRNA from 1 species